UAGGCAGAAGGAGGCUCAUUAGCCAUGC
rnacentral:piRNA from 1 species